AGCUCUGGUGACCUUGUGGUUAGAGAGUCCGCCUCGGAUGUGGGAGGUCGCGGGUUCGAACCUUGGCCGAGUCA